UGUUCAAUGAAUAUAUGUGAUGUAUUUUACAAGGAAUUGUUGAUGUUGUAAUGUAGUAUUUAUGGCAAUUUAAGGAACACAAUGUCACGGAGUUCCUGGUUCUUGCUGGAGAUCAUUUAUAUCGUAUGGAUUAUGAGAGGUUCAUUCAAGCACAUAAAGAAACUGACACAAAUAUCACUGUGGUUGCAUUGCCAAUGGAUGAAAAACAUGCAACUGCAUUUGUUCUGAUGAAAGAAUUGUUAAUUCAAAUGGUGCAGGACUGGUUUUUCUUCUGAAGGGUCUGCUUACAUAUAUUUUUUGCAGAUUUGGGAGAACUAUGUUGAAGGACAGGAAGUUGCAAAUGGUUCAUCCGUUGUUGAAAGUAAACAAAAGGAAGUACUUUAGGUGCUUUGUCACAUUUGCUUUGUCUGUCAUCUUUCUUGUUUGUUUUCUUAAAUCAUAUAAUUUACGUAUCUUCCUGGCCUUUGCUUUCAGGUGGUGGUAGCUGAAGUACUUGGAGAUGGCAAGUUCUACGUCCAAACAGUCGGCAACCAGAAAGUGGCUGCUAUUCAAAAGCAGCUAGCUUUGUUGAACUUUCAAGAAGCCCCUGUUGUGGGUGCUUUUAAUCCUAAGGGCCAAUACUACAAAGCAUGCCUUUAUGCUGGAAUUAACAUUAGUUGGAUCAAUGGUGAAGUUAUGUCUGGCCAGGUAGUAAUCUCUUGCUUGUAUUCUCUCUUUUGGUUUAGCUUAAAUUUUGAUGCGGUCCAUGUGAGCCCCACUUAUCUUGAGGACCAAGAUUGGGAGGAAGUGCCAAGCACUGUCAUCUCUAUUCUGGUUUAGCUUAAAAUCUUUAUUUGUAAAUUUGUAUCCAUAUGCAUUGUCGGAGAAACUAAAAAACUUACUCAUUCUCAUAUUGCAUUGUGGAAUAUGCAUCCAUUAUUCAACGAAAGGGCGACAUUCUAAGCACUCACUCAUUCUCUCCUUACUAGCUAAAUUGGCUAACAAGCUAAAGAAGUUAGUGGAGGAUGAAAUUCAUUUUCUCAAGGGAAGGGUUUCAGAAACUUGAAAGUGAUCUUGUGUCAAAGUUCACAGAAGUUACAUCUGUAGUUUCAAGGAAAGAAGAAGCUUUAUCUUCUGCAUUUGCUGAAAUUGACCAUCUGAAGGAAGAAAAUUCUGUAAAAAUGUGAGCAUUAUUGAAUGUAUAUGGAGGGUGUUUACUGUGUUGGAGUGUAUAUGUUUCUUGCACAUGAGGGCACGCCUUAGUUGUAAUUCUUAUGAUAGGUUGAGCAAAGUGAAGUAUUAUUUAUUUAGAAAUGUGAAUGUAGGAUGCAUUGUAUGAUUUGAUUGCUAUUUGUAAUAAAUGCAUCGUUUUUUUUU